CCUACGGGUGACUGCAGUGGGGGAUAUUGCACAAUGGGGGAAACCCUGAUGCAGCGAUGCCGCGUGAAUGAAGACGGCCUUCGGGUUGUAAAGUUCUGUCGCAGGGGACGAAAAUGACGGUACCCUGCAAGAAAGCUCCGGCUAACUACGUGCCAGCAGCCGCGGUAAUACGUAGGGGGCAAGCGUUAUCCGGAUUUACUGGGUGUAAAGGGAGCGCAGGCGGUAUGGCAAGUCAGAUGUGAAAACCCAGGGCCCAACCCUGGGACUGCAUUUGAAACUGCCAUACUGGAGUGCCGGAGAGGUAAGUGGAAUUCCUAGUGUAGCGGUGAAAUGCGUAGAUAUUAGGAGGAACACCAGUGGCGAAGGCGGCUUACUGGACGGUAACUGACGCUGAGGCUCGAAAGCGUGGGGAGCAAACAGGAUUAGAUACCCCUGUAGUC
rnacentral:rRNA from 1 species